rnacentral:rRNA from 1 species
GAUGAACGCUAGCGAUAGGCCUAACACAUGCAAGUCGAGGGGCAUCACAUGAAGUAGCAAUACGGAUGGUGGCGACCGGCGCACGGGUGAGUAACACGUAUGCAACCUGCCUUCAACAAGGGGAUAACCCGUUGAAAGACGGACUAAUACCCUAUAACACAGGGGUCCCGCAUGGGAAUAUUUGUUAAAGGACAACCGGUUGAAGAUGGGCAUGCGUUCCAUUAGCUAGUUGGCGGGGUAACGGCCCACCAAGGCAACGAUGGAUAGGGGAACUGAGAGGUUUAUCCCCCACACUGGUACUGAGACACGGACCAGACUCCUACGGGAGGCAGCAGUGAGGAAUAUUGGUCAAUGGACGCAAGUCUGAACCAGCCACGUCGCGUGAAGGAAGACGGCCCUACGGGUUGUAAACUUCUUUUAUACGGGGAAUAAAGUGCCCCACGCGUGGGGUUUUGCAUGUACCGUAUGAAUAAGGAUCGGCUAACUCCGUGCCAGCAGCCGC